rnacentral:rRNA from 1 species
UAACACGUGGGUAACCUGCCUGUAAGACUGGGAUAACUCCGGGAAACCGGGGCUAAUACCGGAUGCUUGUUUGAACCGCAUGGUUCAAACAUAAAAGGUGGCUUCGGCUACCACUUACAGAUGGACCCGCGGCGCAUUAGCUAGUUGGUGAGGUAACGGCUCACCAAGGCAACGAUGCGUAGCCGACCUGAGAGGGUGAUCGGCCACACUGGGACUGAGACACGGCCCAGACUCCUACGGGAGGCAGCAGUAGGGAAUCUUCCGCAAUGGACGAAAGUCUGACGGAGCAACGCCGCGUGAGUGAUGAAGGUUUUCGGAUCGUAAAGCUCUGUUGUUAGGGAAGAACAAGUACCGUUCGAAUAGGGCGGUACCUUGACGG